rnacentral:tRNA from 2 species
ACCUGGCUGGCUCAGUUGGUAGAGCAUAUGACUCUUGAUCUCAGGGUCAUGAGUUUGAGCCUCAUGUUAGGCA